rnacentral:rRNA from 1 species
UACAGAGGGGGCGAGCGUUGUUCGGAAUUACUGGGCGUAAAGGGCUCGUAGGCGGCCAACUAAGUCAGACGUGAAAUCCCCAGGCUCAACCUGGGAACUGCGUCUGAUACUGGAUGGCUUGAAUUCGGGAGAGGGAUGCAGAAUUCCAGGCGUAGCGGUGAAAUGCGUAGAUAUCUGGAGGAAUACCGGUGGCGAAGGCGGCAUCCUGGACCGACAUUGACGCUGAUGAGCGAAAGCUAGGGGAGCAAACGGG